rnacentral:lncRNA from 1 species
GAGUCAGCAGUUCAGGGUUGGAAGCUCAAGUAUCCAACUUCCAAGGUUGACGACUGUGCAGUGGUUUGCCUCUUUCUUGAUUCGAACUCAAAGGACUCAACUAUUUCGACAGCAAAAUCCAAGAAAAACGUUGCUGCAGAGGAUGAUUUCUACAAGAAAGAUAAUUCUCUUUAUACAAUCGGAUUUAACCGCUCUGGUACUGUUAGAACUAGUGAACANGCAGAGGAUGAUUUCUACAAGAAAGAUAAUUCUCUUUAUACAAUCGGAUUUAACCGCUCUGGUACUGUUAGAACUAGUGAACAAGUUCUUGGAGAAGAGAAUGAGGCUUCAGAUGCAAAUAAGGAGGAACUCUCCGACCUUGAAG